UUUUUUUUUUUAAAGAACACAUGAGAAACUGAAACCCAGAUGGGAAACUGGCUUGCCUUGUGCUCCAAAACUUGACCUACCGAGAACCUAUAUUUCACAGAUGAGGAAACAGACCCCCUCAGAGCCCAGGGUUCACACAGGUGUUAGUGUGGACCCAGGACUACAUCUCAUUCCCCUUGUCACCCAGCGCCAGCUGUCUCCUAGUGUGUCCUGCACUGCAUCUCCCACGGCUCCAAUCCCAGGUUUAUAUUUCAUGCCUGUGAGUCUUAGACUCCCUUGGCAGAUCCAGCAGUCACAAGCUCCAGUUCCUACUGGGACCCAUGUGAGCGAGUGGGCUGGGUGUAAGCUGAUGGAAACCACUACUGGGGCUUGUGGCAAAUCAGAAAACCUAAGAACUGUUUAAAAUCAAACUUUCUAAGUCUGCCUUGGAAGGGUAUAGGUUCAAUCGAGUGGCAGUUUCUAAUUAUUC
rnacentral:lncRNA from 1 species